AGAUUUCUCGGAGCACGUACGCCGUCGCCGGCCGCAGCGCCUGCGCAUGCGCAGCGGCAGCAACGGCGGCGCGCCAUCUCUCCGCGUCGAUUUGAAUUCUCAACGGCUGCGCCAGGCAAGUCAACGCUUGUUGCUGCUGGUGAGCUGCCUGCACCUUCGUGUCUGUGUAUUCGUCUCGACUUUGUGGCAUCACACGUCAACUACACUGAACGCGGGUGUCAUAGACUGCCAGGGAAUUUUCAUGAAAACAGCCAGGGAAAGCUUGGAAAAACAUCAGGGAAAUUGAAAAUGACAACAUAGCAUGCACCUGCAGCACCUUCGGAACGGCUGACACGAAGGUCAAGGCCAGCCAGGCAACCGUGCUUGCCAAGGGGAAGCAGCUUUAAAUAUGUAAAUAUUCUCUUUUGAUGAUAGCAUAAGACAUGCAUUUUAAUAAAUUAAUGUAUUAUAUCGUUCAAUAAAAACAGUUAAU